GUUUGGAAGGGCGGUGAAGUUGUGGUUUCUCCUGAACAUAAAUGUUUGGAAUCUCAUGUUUAGCUUGCGAAACCCACAAUAAAACAAAGGUUUGGCCGCGGAUAAUGAGAGGCAUCUUUUUCUUGCGUUUCACAUGAAAAAGCUGGGAGAAGAGCAGUAAAAACAUGGCUGCUUAUCAUCGUUGAAAAUGGUGGACAAACUAGCCUCCCCAGAGAGCAUAUGAAUUAGGCAUUGGGCAACAGAUGCUGCCAUUUUCUUGCCGUCGUUCAUACUCAAAGCUGCAAAACUUAGUAAGAAAAUCUUUGUUUUUGCAUUUUAUUUUAGCAUUCAUAUAAAUAUCCAUCAAAUAGGCUCUAAAUGUUUCAUAAAACUCUCAAUUUAAUCCUUUUA